rnacentral:lncRNA from 1 species
AUGGGGGAUAAUGGGGCAGCAUGUGGAAGAUUAUACACCGUCAGAUGUAUUGGGGGUACCAAUCGGAUGGCAAAACCCUGCACUCAAGUUUCGGUUGUGAUUGUCAAGAUUGUUGACUACUGUCCACCAGGAUGUCGUGGAACCAUUAAUCUUUCUCGAGAGGGAUUUGUAGUUAUUGCCAAUCCUGACCAAAUGUUUUAA